GAUAGAGACCAUUUGGCCUACAAAGCCUAAACUAUUUACCAUUUGUCCCUUUACAGAAAAGGUGUGCCAGUCUCCACGAGCAGUAGAUUACAAAGCUCAGCACAACCUUCUCAAAGGGUGGGUGCAUCCGUACGUAUUGGGAUAUAAGGUCUGUGCCCUGUGACUCUUAGGAGGGAGAGACCGGGCCACUUCCCAACUUCCUGAGGGCAGGUAGUCUAAUCCACCCAACCACUUGAGCACUGGGGAGCUGCCAUCCUUUGUUCGUGGAGGUGCUGUGGGCAAGGGUGGCUCAUGAUCCCUGUACGUUGUGAGUGCUUGUACUUUGGGGUUUCCAGGACUCAACUGGCUGCAGAUAAAUUGGAAACUGCUGCUUCGGCUGCCUGCGGGGCGAGGCCUGAUGUCUUUGUGGUUCCGAUCGAUGACAAGGUGUAAAGUUAGAGGCGCUACUCUGCCCUCCCUUGAAGUAGCCGGCAUUUUGUUCGGGACCUCAAGUGGCGCCUGACCACCUCCGCCAGUCUUGGAGAUGACAGAUCCGUUUACAGCGCUGCCGAGUGAAGUCAUAUUAAGUCGUCCGUCUCUGCCAAAUGCUAUUCAUUGUGAGAUCUGCCUCAUAAUAAAGCAUGAUGGAUUGCUUCUUUUGGCCA
rnacentral:lncRNA from 1 species